rnacentral:misc_RNA from 1 species
GAAUGACAAAAAAUUAAUCUUUAUGUUUGGCGAAGAUAUGAAAAUGAUAUCUAAAUAUCCAUGUUUGGAAAGGAAAGUAUAAAAGAGUGAUGAUGGAUAAUGUUUUUUAUACUAGUUUUGAGAGGAAGACACAAGGAUUUCAGUUGUUCAUCUUAUAUCCCAUUAUACUUUCUUUUCUAUCCUCAUUAAACAUGUGAAGCAUAAGUGAAACUGAUGAAUGCUUCAUUAGCAAUUUAAGCAUGGGCCGUUCAAUUUUGGCUGUUCUUCUGUUCACCAAAGGCUAGUUCAAUGUGAGGGGCGUGAUACUGUUUUCUCCAGAAAAAUACUGUUGGCUUACUUCAAAUUGCUUAGAUUAUUCAUGAAGAAAUGGUAGAAGAUUAGAGUCCGUCCCUAUCAUUGGAUAAGCUGGUAGAACAUAAUAACAUAAAAGAACAUUGGAACAGUUGUAAUUUAUUUUACAAAGAAUUUACUUGGCCAUAUUCUAUCUUGAUGUAAUUGCAACGAGAAUGAUAUUGGCUGUUUUAUUUUCGGAAGUCUCCGGGCAUGACUUUGGCUGUGUUUCUUGCCUUAAUUGUUGCUUUCAACUUUCGAGUGCCAAAACUGGGGAAAUUUGUAAUUAAAUUUUUUAAGGUGGAAAAGAUUGUGGCACACCAACUUGUAAGCUUUUAGUAGGAAUCUGUAAUUCUUCCUUAGAGAUGGUUCAUUGGAGCUGAAGGUCUAUUGUAUUGUAGUUGAAGGUGUAGCACUUUGACUAAAUUCUUUGAGAUGGAAAAUUAUUUUAGCUCGAACUCUCAAUUUUAAAUCUAUAUUUGGGCACCUUGUUCAAGAUUUUUCUUCCCUUCCUCGUAUAUCUCCAUAAUAUUGCCCAUAGAAGUUUUAAUAGUUUGCUUUGGUUGACAGGAUUUUUGUUUUCUUCUUUUCCUCCUACAUUGGUAAUGAAAAUGUAAGGCCUCCUUAUGAUGCAGAUUAAGAUGCCUCUUUUACAUAGUUGGGGGAAAAAGAAGAAGAAUUACCUGAAUCCUCAUAUUUGCAAAUCUUGUGGCUGUAAAAACAUGGCUUAUAUUGUAAGAAUUAUCUCAAAAUAUAUGAUAGAAGUCUUUUAUCUCACUUAAAAUAAAAAAUUGUGGGAAAUAUGAUUUGGUUUUAAUUAAUUUAAUUGUCUCCUGUAAGUCUGGUUGAAUCGGUAAUUUCUUGACAGGGUUGAUAUCUG